rnacentral:rRNA from 1 species
UUCGCAAUGCCCGAAAGGGUGACGAAGCGACGCCGCGUGCGGGAAGAAGGCCUUCGGGUUGUAAACCGCUGUCGGGAGUUAGGAAGUGCAAGGAUGUUAAUAGCGUUCUUGCUUGACUAAGGCUCCGGAGGAAACCACGGCUAACUCUGUGCCAGCAGCCGCGGUAAUACAGAGGCGGCAAGCGUUGUUCGGAAUUAUUGGGCGUAAAGAGCACGUAGGCGGCUGUGUAAGUCGGUUGUGAAAGCCUUCCGCUUAACGGAAGAACGGCAUCCGAUACUGCAUAGCUUGAGUGCGGGAGGGGAGAGUGGAACUUCUGGUGGAGCGGUGAAAUGCGUAGAUAUCAGAAGGAACACCGGCGGCGAAGGCGACUCUCUGGUCCGUAACUGACGCUGAGUGUGCGAAAGCUAGGGGAGCAAACGGGAUUAGAUACCCCGGUAGUCCUAGCCGUAAACGAUGGGCACUAAGUAGAGGGGUUUUA